rnacentral:rRNA from 1 species
AACGAACGCUGGCGGCAGGCCUAACACAUGCAAGUCGAACGCCCCACAAGGGGAGUGGCAGACGGGUGAGUAACACGUGGGAACCUUCCCUAUAGUACGGAAUAGCCCAGGGAAACUUGGAGUAAUACCGUAUACGCCCGAAAGGGGAAAGAAUUUCGCUAUAGGAUGGGCCCGCGUAGGAUUAGCUAGUUGGUGAGGUAAUGGCUCACCAAGGCGACGAUCCUUAGCUGGUUUGAGAGAACGACCAGCCACACUGGGACUGAGACACGGCCCACACUCCUCCGGGAGGCAGCAGGGGGGAAUAUUGGACAAUAGGCGGAAGCCUGAUCCAGCCAUGCCGCGUGAGUGAUGAAGGCCUUAGGGUUGUAAAGCUCUUUUGCCGGGGACGAUAAUGACGGUACCCGGAGAAUAAGUCCCGGCUAACUUCGUGCCAGCCGCCGCCGUAAGAC